rnacentral:rRNA from 1 species
CAGGUGGUGUGAGAUGGAUCCGCGUCUGAUUAGCCAGUUGGCGGGGUAACGGCCCACCAAAGCGACGAUCAGUAGCCGACCUGAGAGGGUGACCGGCCACAUUGGGACUGAGACACGGCCCAAACUCCUACGGGAGGCAGCAGUGGGGAAUAUUGCACAAUGGGCGCAAGCCUGAUGCAGCGACGCCGCGUGAGUGAAGAAGUAUCUCGGUAUGUAAAGCUCUAUCAGCAGGGAAGAAAAUGACGGUACCUGACUAAGAAGCCCCGGCUAACUACGUGCCAGCAGCCGCGGUAAUACGUAGGGGGCAAGCGUUAUCCGGAUUUACUGGGUGUAAAGGGAGCGUAGACGGCGACGCAAGUCUGGAGUGAAAGCCCGGGGCCCAACCCCGGGACUGCUUUGGAAACUGUGUUGCUGGAGUGCAGGAGAGGUAAGUGGAAUUCCUAGUGUAGCGGUGAAAUGCGUAGAUAUUAGGAGGAACACCAGUGGCGAAGGCGGCUUACUGGACUGUAACUGACGUUGAGGCUCGAAAGCGUGGGGAGCAAACAG